ACUGAGGUCUCCGCUCGACCUCUCCCUGGCCUGUCCUGUUCUGUUAUUGCCAGCAUCCUGGUGGGACAAUUUCAUGGGUGGAAUCAGAGUGCGUUAGAGUAAGAAACCUAAAGAGAUGCUAUUUUCUGCCUAAUCUGUUUUCUCCCCGUGGGUCAAUUUGGCUGCACUUUUAUUUUGAAAUCAAAGAACCUAGAAACAAAUGAGCAAACACCUUAUUAUUGAGAACCAUCUGCAGAAAAUCCCACGGAGCAGCUCCAAGGUCAAAGCUUAUCUGUUUUGCCUCAUGCACAAAACAGCCAGCACCAGGAGACCGGCAGGAUGGGAAAUCACAGAAUCAUAAGAAGUUUGGGUAAAAGGAAGCAUCUUCUUUCAGUUGAAUGUAAAGAUAGUACCUUGUUCCUGUCUUGGCCUCCUUGGAGUGAGGACUCUAAGAGAGGCGAAACAAUUUGCUUAAGUCACACAGCUCUGAAGGAGCAGAACCUAUCUCAACCUGGAUCUACACGAUUCUAGGAGCUGUGUUCUGAACCACUCUCUCUCAUCAAUUACAACAAAUCCUUGAAUGACAAUCCACGGGAGCACGAAUAUAAGUUCCUUGAAAGCAGAGAUUUUGUCUGACUUGAUGACUGCCAUCCCCCCAGGACGCAGAACAGGGGCCAGGUCACGGUCAUCGAUAUGGAGGAAGGAAUCAAAGAUUAUCCCAUGACGGCAUCCACAACAAAUCAGAGGUUUGG
rnacentral:lncRNA from 1 species